rnacentral:rRNA from 1 species
GAUGAACGCUAGCGGGAGGCCUAACACAUGCAAGCCGAGCGGUAUUGUUUCUUCGGAAAUGCGAGAGCGGCGUACGGGUGCGUAACACGUGUGCAACCUGCCUUUAUCUGGGGGAUAGCCUUUCGAAAGGAAGAUUAAUACUCCAUAAUAUAUUGAACGGCAUCGUUUAAUAUUGAAAGCUCCGGCGGAUAGAGAUGGGCACGCGCAAGAUUAGCUAGUUGGUGAGGUAACGGCUCACCAAGGCGAUGAUCUUUAGGGGGCCUGAGAGGGUGAUCCCCCACAUGGGAACUGAACCCCGGACAGGCACCCUGCGGGAGGAAGCAGUGAGGAAGAUUGGUCAAGGGGGGCAAGCCUAAACCACCCACCCCGGGUGAAGGACGCCUCCCCUAGGGGUUUUAACUUUUUUUUGUAUGGGAAAAACCCUCCCCUCGUGGGGGUACCUGAAGGUACUUAACAAAAAAGCCCCGGCUACCUCCGUG